rnacentral:lncRNA from 1 species
CUUUCCGUGGUGAAGUCGUCUGCUAGCUCACCCUGUCCCCAUUUCGCUGCCCGGAAAGAGGUAAAAUGCUCACACUUCUUUGGUUUAAUAAUUGAUAUUCAAAUAGUUCACUAUUGGCAAGUCUGAAUCGGUACAGAGCUUGAUUUUCUUGUCCUAUACUCAUAUUUUGGUCUUAUUAAAAUUAAAUUAUUUUUUUUUAUUUUAAAAUUAUUUGAAGUAGGAGUUUAUUUGAUCUUGACUAUUGCGUGCAUAGCAUGUUAUUUUUGUGUAAGGUUAAUUUUAAUAGUUUAGCAACCGUCGAAGGUCUGAUGUUUCGUAUGUCUAGAUUUUUAUUUAGCAUGUUGUCUUGCUAGUCAAUUAUCACANNNN